UACAGAGGGUGCAAGCGUUAAUCGGAUUUACUGGGCGUAAAGCGUGCGUAGGCGGUUCGCUAAGUCGGUUGUGAAAUCCCUGGGCUUAACCUGGGAACCGCAGUCGAUACUGGUGGACUAGAGUACGGUAGAGGGUGGCGGAACUCCGGGUGUAGCGGUGAAAUGCGUAGAUAUCCGGAAGAACACCGAUGGCGAAGGCAACCACCUGGGCCUGUACUGACGCUGAGGUACGAAAGCGUGGGGAGCAAACAGG
rnacentral:rRNA from 1 species